GGGGUGCACCAGGCGCGAAAACUUUACAAUGCUGGCAACAGCGAUAAGGGGACCUCGAGUGCCAGGAUACAAUGUUGGCUGUCGCGACGCCUAAAAAGCAUUGCAUAGCAAGGGCCGGGCAAGACCGGUGCCAGCCGCCGCGGUAACACCGGCGGCUCGAGUGGUAACCGCUAUUAUUGGGUCUAAAGGGUCUGUAGCCGGCCGGAUAAGUCUUUUGGGAAAUCCAGCUGCUCAACAGUUGGUCUUUCAGAAGAUACUUCUCGGCUUGAGACCGGGAGAGGUGAGAGGUACUUCAGGGGUAGGGGUGAAAUCUUGUAAUCCUUGAAGGACCACCAGUGGCGAAGGCGUCUCACCAGAACGGAUCUGACGGCAAGGGACGAAAGCUAGGGGCACGAACCGGAUUAGAUACCCGGGUAGUCCUAGCCGUAAACGAUACUCGCUAGGUGUCACCCCCGUUGCGACCGUGGUUGGUGCCGUAGGGAAGCCGUGAAGCGAGCCACCUGGGAAGUACGGCCGCAAGACUGAAACUUAAAGGAAUUGGC
rnacentral:rRNA from 1 species